rnacentral:lncRNA from 1 species
GUUUCGGCAGAAGGGAGCAAACCCUAAGCCCAGCGCCGCAUGCCCAGGCUCCAGCAAUGCGCGCCGUUCCACCUCCUCGCACGCCGCCACCGCCCAAGGCUCGCCAACCACCGGUCGUCCACGCGUCUGACACCUGCAAAAAUUAAAUACAAUGGCAAAAAGAAGGCACGCGGGUAGUUAACAGACAGUAAAGAAGAAGAAAGUGUUUUUUUUAAUUCGGCUAUAAAAGCUCGAAUCUAAU